rnacentral:piRNA from 1 species
UGUUAAUACCUCUCUCUCUUGCUCUUGCUC